GGCAUGGUGAGAACCUGUGGGUGAGAGGCUCUGCUGCUUUGGGCCAAGCUAAUCCUCCAGCUGAAGCCUGUUGAGCCAAGGGACCCAGCUGGCCUCACUCGUUUGGUGUGAUCUCACCCAUCCUUCCUACAGAUCCCUAGCUGCUAGAAUGCUGUUCACCCAGUUACACUUCUCUGGUACUAUGAUCAGACACCAGGAGCAGCACGCACACAUCCAUUCAGAAGUUCCUGCACAAGCAAGGUCAGAAUGAUGGACGCCUUUGAAAACAGGAUCAGUAAACAGCCUGUUACUGACUGCAGACAUGAUCUUUAUGAUAUGAAAGGGUGGCAUGGACACUGCUGGUGUUAGUGGACUCAAUAGCAGUCCUUCCAGGAACAGCUCACACCUGUAAUACAACUUAGAGCCGUUAUGCUGUAAGGCUCCCCUCAAGCUCCCCUUGGAGCUCUGGCAUCUCUCUUGCAACACUUAACCAAAGCUCUCUGCCAAAGGUGGAUGCCGUUGGUGUGACUGGAACUCCUCUAAUCUUCUCUCAUCAGGCCUGGACUCACCAGUCGUCAUUACAGGACCACAGAAAUGAGGCACAACAGAAGAAGGUUCAGCCUCAAAAUGUAGUCUUGACUUUUCUGACUGAUUUUUUUCCAGUUUUGUCAGACCUGCACUCUACUUCAAUCUGAUUCUGAUCGUAUCAUGAUCUGAGUGUAUAGUUUGAGAUCUGUUGUAUCCAUUACCUGAGCUUUCAAUUAAACUCAGAGUUAAAAAUUUAGCAGACUCCUGCAAAAAGCAAAAUCUUUUUAGUUAAUCAAAAUGAAAAUGUUGUCAAAUGAGUUGCACUAAAGACAUUUCUGCAGCUAAUUUCUGAAUGAAAAGAAAUAUACUUUCCUGGAUGUUAAUUUUUUACUGCCUAAAUCCUCAAAUCCAACUAAACUGUGCUGAAUCAUUCUGCUAUAGCUUAACUACUUUGCGUUGGAAAUAACCUAGGUGUUCCAUUUCUGAUGUGGUAGCUAAUUAAAGACGUUCUGUCAAGGUUGACAGGUCUAAAAUGUGUGUUGCACUGAUAAUUAAAAAGAAGAGCACCCUACCCAUAAUAAACUGGAGUCAUGUUGCAA